rnacentral:rRNA from 1 species
AUUGAACGCUGGCGGCAGGCUUAACACAUGCAAGUCGAACGAGAUCUUCGGAUCUAGUGGCAGACGGGUGAGGAACACGUGGGAACAUCCCUUUCAGUUCGGAAUAACGUUGGGAAACUAACGCUAAUACCGGAUACGUCCUUCGGGAGAAAGAUUUAUUGCCGAAAGAUUGGCCCGGGUCUGAUUAGCUAGUUGGUGAGGUAAUGGCUCACCAAGGCUACGAUCAGUAGCUGAUCUGAGAGGAUGAUCAGCCACAUUGGGACUGAGACACGGCCCAAACUCCUACGGGAGGCGGCAGUGGGGAAUAUUGGACAAUGGGCGCAAGCCUGAUCCAGCCAUGCCGCGUGAGUGAUGAAGGCCUUCGGGUUGUAAAGCUCUUUUAUCCGGGAAGAUAAUGACUGUACCGGAAGAAUAAGCCCCGGCAAACUUCGUGCCAGCCGCCGCCGGAA